rnacentral:rRNA from 1 species
CAGUAGCCGCGGGAAUACGAAGGGGGCUAGCGUUGUUCGGAAUUACUGGGCGUAAAGCGCACGUAGGCGGACAUUUAAGUCAGGGGUGAAAUCCCGGGGCUCAACCCCGGAACUGCCUUUGAUACUGGGUGUCUAGAGUAUGGAAGAGGUGAGUGGAAUUCCGAGUGUAGAGGUGAAAUUCGUAGAUAUUCGGAGGAACACCAGUGGCGAAGGCGGCUCACUGGUCCAUUACUGACGCUGAGGUGCGAAAGCGUGGGGAGCAAACAGGAUUAGAUACCCGGGUAGUCCCUGUCUCUUAUAC